GACGAACGCUGGCGGCGUGCCUAAUACAUGCAAGUAGAACGCACAGUUUAUACCGUAGCUUGCUACACCAUAGACUGUGAGUUGCGAACGGGUGAGUAACGCGUAGGUAACCUGCCUGGUAGCGGGUGAUAACUAUUGGAAACGAUAGCUAAUACCGCAUAAUAUUGAUUAUUGCAUGAUAAUUAAUUGAAAGGUGCAAUUGCACCACUACCAGAUGGACCUGCGUUGUAUUAGCUAGUAGGUGAGGUAACGGCUCACCUAGGCGACGAUACAUAGCCGAACCGGGAAGGUGAACGGCCACACUGGGACUGGGACACGGCCCAGACUCCUACGGGAGGGAGCAGUAGGGAAUCUUCGGCAAUGGACGAAAGUCUGACCGAGGAACGCCGCGUGAGUGAAGAAGGUUUUCGGAUCGUAAAGAUCUGUUGUAAGAGAAGAACGGGUGUGAGAGUGGAAAGUUCACACUGUGACGGUAUCUUACCAGAAAGGGACGGCUAACUACGUG
rnacentral:rRNA from 1 species